CAUAGCAUAGCAUAGCAUACAAACCUGUCCUAUAAUGCCUGCAGCAUACAUAAUCCAAACUGACUAUCACCUAACUCUAAUUUUAUGACCGUAGGUAGGCCAUAUCACCUUCACGUUUAGACAGCAGUCAAUCUGGGGUGCAGGUGUCUGACUGUUGGUCCUGUCUAGUGAUGUCAGAACAGCUGUUCCCCAGAAGAAUGAUAUACCUGAGAAGUGUGUUAAGAUGUUCCUCAGAAGAAUAGAAAGACCUGAAAUGUGUGUUUAGGGCCCCCAGAAGGAUAGUAAACCAGAUGGUGUGUACAUAUUGUCACCACAAAGCACUAAAAACCUGACCAGAUCCCCACAAAGGAGGUUCUUGUCAGGUCAAAAACCUCUACUUUGUCUGAUUGAUAAUUGGAAGUGACAUAUCUGUUCUAUAUCCACUCAAGGCUGCUGCCUGAUUUUAUUCAGUGUUGUAUGUCCUUUAGAAAGGGUGGUUCCCACAAUGCAUGGCCUAGUCAGGUGGCCCCACAAGGGCAUAAAGACAAGUAUGUGUGUGUGUGUGUGCUAGAUCUGGCUGGGCAUGGGCUUGUGUGU